rnacentral:tRNA from 1 species
GGAGCUGUAGGUCAGUGGUAGAACAUCUGCUUGGCAUGCAAAAAGGUCUCAGGUUCAAGCUCUGGUAUCUCCA